GAUGAAGAACGUAGCGAAAUGCGAUACUUGGUGUGAAUUGCAGAAUCCCGUGAACCAUCGAGUCUUUGAACGCAAGUUGCGCCUCAAGCCAUUAGGUUGAGGGCACGUCUGCCUGGGCGUCACAUAUCGUUGCCUGAUGCCAGUUUCCUCGUGAUGGGUGACUGUGCAGGGCGAAUGAUGGCUUCCCGUGAGCAUUGUUGCCUCAUGGUUGGUUGAAAAUUGAGUCCUUGGUAGGGAGCGCCGUGAUAGAUGGUUGUUGAGUGACGAACGAGACCCAAUCAUGUGAGACCCCUACCGAAUUUGGCCUUCAUGACCCACAUGCGUCUUUGGAACGCUCAUGACGAGACCUCAGGUCAGGCGGGGCUACCCGCUGAGUUUAAGCAUAUCAAUAAGCGGAGGA
rnacentral:misc_RNA from 1 species